UGUUUAGCCUCCACAUGUUGGUGUUUUUUACAGUUUUUUUUCUUGUGAUUGAUUUCUAAUCUCAUAGUGUUUUGGUCGGGAAAGUUGCUUGAUAUGAUUUCAGUUUUCUGAAAUUUACUCAAGGCUUGCUGUGUGGCCCAGAAUGUGAUCUAUCCUGGAGAAUGUUCCAUGUGCACUUGAGAAGAAGGUGUAUUCUGCUGCUUUUGGAUGGAAUGUUCUGUAAAUAUCAGUUAAUCCCCUUGGUCUAAUAUGUCAUUUAAGGCCUGUGUUUCCUUAUUGAUUUUCUAUCUGGAUGAUCUGUCCAUUGAUGUAAGUGGGGUGUUAAAGUCCCCCAGUUUUAUUGUGUUACUGUUGAUUUCUCCUUUUAUGGCUGUUAGCAUUUGCCUUAUAUAUUGGGGUGCUCCUAUGUUGGGCGCAUAUAUAUUUACAAGUGUUAGAUCUUCUUCUUGGAUUGAUCCCUUUAUCAUUAUGCAGUGUCCUUCUUUGUCUCUUAUAAGUCUUCAUUUUAAAGUCUAUUUUGUCUGAUAUAAGUAUUGCUACUCCAGCUUUCUUGUGAUUUCCAUUUGCAUGGAAUACCUUUAUCCAUCCCCUCGCUUUCAGUCUGUAUAUGUCCCUAGAUCUAAAGUGGGUCUCUUGUGGACAGCAUAUAUACUGGUCUUGUUUUCAUGUCCAUUCAGCCAGCCUGUAUCUUUUGGUUGGAGCAUUUAAUCCAUUUUCCUUUAAAGUAAUUAUCAUAUGUAUGUUCUUAUUGCCAUUUUGUUAAUUGUUUUGGAUUUGUUUUUGUAGGUCUUUUUUCUUCCCUUCCUUUUUUUCCCUUGUGAUUUGAUGACUAUCUUUUGUGUUGUGUUUGGAUUGCUUUAUCUUUUUUGUAUGUGUAUCUGUUGUAGGUUUUGGGUUUGCUGUUCCCAUGAGGUUUUGAUAUAGCAGUCUGUAUAUAAACAAGAUUGUUUUAAGUUGCUGGUCUCUUAAUAUCAAAUGCAUUUCCAGUACCCUGCAUUUGUACUCUCCUCAGGAUUGCUGGUUUUGAUAAAUUUGUGUGUGAAUGAUUUCCUACGUUUACUGUAUGUUUGCCUUUACCGGUGAGCUUCCCCAUUUGUAAUUUUCUUGUUUCUAGUUGUGGCCUUUUCUUUUCUGCCUAGAGAAGUUCCUUUAGCAUUUGUUGUAAAGCUGGUUUGGUGGUGCUGAAUUCUCUUAGCUUUUGAUUGUCUGUAUAGCUUUUCAUUUCUCUGUCAAAUCUGAACAAGAGCCUUGCUGGGUAGAGUAGUCUUGGUUGUAGGUUUUUCCCUUGUAUCACUUAAAUAUAUAGUGCUACUCCCUUCUGGCCAGCAGAGUUUCUGCUGAAAAAAUCAGCUGAUAACCUUACGGGGAUCCCCUUGUUUCUUAUUUGUUGCUUUUUAGUUUUACUAAUAUAUGUGUCUCGACGUGUUCCUCCUUGGGUUUAUCCUGUAUGGGACUCUGCACUUCGUGGACUUGAGUGAGUGUUCCCUUUCCCAUGUUAGGGAAGUUUUUAGUUAUAAUCUCUUCAAAUAUUUUCUCAGGUCCUUUCUCUCUCUCUUCUCUUCUGGGACCCCUGUAAUGGGAAUGUUGGUGUGUUUAAUGUUGUCCCAGAAGUCUCUUAGACUGUCCUCAUUUCUUUUCAUUCUUCUUUCUUUAUUCUGUUCUGUGGCAGUGAUUCCCACCACUCUUUCAGCUCACUUAUUUGUUCUUCUAUCUCAUUUAUUCUGCUAUUGAUUCAUUCUAGUGUAUUUUUCAUUUGUAUUAUUGUAUUGUUCAUCUGUUCUUUAAAUCUUCUAGCUCUGUUUUAAACAUUUCUUGUAUCUUCUUGGUCUGUGCCUCCAUUCUUUUUCCAAGAUCUUGGGUCAUCUUUACUGUCAUUACCUUGAAUUGUUUUUCAAAUAGAUUGCCUAUCUCUAAUUCACUUAGUUGUUCUUCCGGGGUUUUAUCUUGUUCGUUUGUCUGGAAUAUGUUUCUCUGCCAUUUCAUUUUGUCUAACUUUCUGUGUUUUUGGUCUCCUUUCCUCAGGCUGCAGGAUUGUAGUUCCUCUUGCUUCUGGUGUCUGCCCCCCAGUGGGUGAGAUUGAUUUAGGGGCUUGUGCAGGCUUCCUGGUAGGAGGGACUGGCACCUGCCCACUGGUGCAUGGAGGUGGAUUUUGUCCCUCUGGUGGGCAGAAAUGUGUCAAGGAGUGUGUUUAGAGGUGGCUGUGAGCUCAGUACAACUUUAGGCUGCCUGUCUGCUGAUGGGUGGGGCUAUGUCUCCCCCCAUCCCCCACCUCGACUGCUGGUUGUUUGGCCUGAGGCCUCCCAGCACUGGAGCCUGCAGGCUGUAGGGUGGGGCCACUUCUUGAUGCCAAAAUGGCGACCUCUGGGAGAGCUCACGCCAAUCAAUAUUCCCUGGGUCCUUCACCACAGGUGUCCUUGCACAGAGAGAGCAACAAUCAACCCCCACCUCUUCAGGAGACCCUCCAAUACCCACAGCAUAGAUGUUCUUCUCUUCUUCAAUAGCUUCACACUUGAAAGUGUUCCAACAGAAUGAGAACCUGACUAUCCUAAGUGGCUGAUAAAGGUGUUCUUGCAGUUACAGGAAUGCUGAUUGUUCCAUAACAUGUAACUAAUCUGGGUACAUUUUGUAGACUGGUGAUAAAACACAUCACAUCUUAAAUCUCUGAAUGAUGUUCUUACGUGUGUAUGUGUAUUUAUAUGUGUGUACACACCUUCAAAUAAAAAACAGAAACAAAACCAUCUUGGGCCUUUGAUUUGAAGCACUCUGCACUUCCCAGGUGAUUCUGCUUCUGCUUCUGCUUUCCUGAGCCAGCUACUAAGGGAACCUCAAUGUGAUGAUGAAUAGACUUGCCUCAAAAAGGAGGAUGAAGGGGAGCAGAAUAUGCCAUCCCAAAAUAUGCCUCUUUGGCAUAAGGAUUAUUUUGAGUGGAUUAUUUUUAAGAAACAGAAGAAAAGCUCUAAAAAUCUAGUAGAAGUUACUCAUUUGUAGGAGACAUUUACAUUUAUAAGAAAUUUUUAUUUGUAAGUGUGUCUUCUAAUCUGUGCCAGGAAUAGAAGGAUGACUCUAAAUCACAAGAAACUCUUAUCAGUGGAGAAGAUACCCAACUUAAAUCUGCAUAACAACCUUACUCUGUUUACUGUGUUUUUCCUAGUAACUUCCCAUGACUGGCCUUCUCCACCUCCCAACAUUUUUCUUGUGUCUUUAGCUGAAAAAGGAAUUUAAGAUGAUGGCUUGGGCUAUUUGGGGGAGUUAGUUUUCCAGGGUCUCCCCCAUGUAUACAGGAUGUAUACAUGUUAUUUGUUUUCUAUUUGUUUUUCUCCUGUUAAUCUGUCUUUUAUUACAGGGGUGGGGUCUCAGCCAACAACCUAGAAUGGUAGAGGGAAAAUUGUUUUUCCUCAAUGACAGUUUGGUGACCCAUGAUGGGAUCUGCUGAAACACCGUACUUCUUCUGGAGCCUGAAGAUAGGAACCUGGAAAACUGGCAGAAGCCAGCAAAGGAAGAUCCUACCAGAUUUAGAGAAGAGUUAGAAAUAUCAGUGGCCAUUCACAACCUCACUCACAAGGACCUUGACUGGAUGCUCAGGGGUAUUCUUCCCACCCAUAAUUAUACUGCAGUUAUCAGAGAAGCCAGACAGCCCCCUGGUGGACCCCCCCACCCCACCCCCAACCAAGGAAACAGAUGACCAGAAUUUCUCCCAGGCUCUCCUGCAAAUGAUCAGGAAAUGGAUCAGUGGAGGUUAGUGUUCAGAGGAUGAUAGAAGCAAGAGUGAACUGGUCCAAGGUUGAAUUGUACACUCAAGGAGAGCAUUCAAAGGCCUUUGCUGAAUGCUUUAUACAGACUUUACAAAGGUAAAUUGUACUAAACCCUAAAGCUCGAGAACAUAGUAAUGUUUUUAUUUCCAUCUCAGUUGGAAUGGAAAUCUCCUUUGGUAAAAAUGUGGUUGAUUGUAGAGAGAAAAAUGAUGCUUCUGUAAAUAAUAUACCCUUGUGGAUAUCAGGUUCUAGUCCUGUUAACUGUCUGAAGUUUGAUUAUUUUCCUGUAAACUGGAGUAGAUCCUGAAUUAUCCUACUUUCCUCAAAUAAUCUGGCUACAUCUCUUCAAACUAAUGUUUCCAGUUUUCUUCCACUCUUUUGACUUGGAAUCACUAAGAACAAAUUGUAUGAAGUUCCUAGAAAUCUGAUAUGUCCUGAUAUAUUAUCACUUGUAAUUCUAGUUAUUAUCUUAAAAUGUAUGUCACAGACAUAACCAUAUUUCCUUGUCAAAGGCUCAUUAUAUCUUUAACCAUGGCUGUUUUUAAGUCUUUUGUCACUUAUGAAAGUUAUUGUUUUGCUUUUGCAAAAGUUAUUUCCCAAAGCCCUGCAAACUGAAUGUGAAUGGACUGACAUAAAGUUCACAGAAAUGACCCCAGCGGCUCACGUUUAGAUCAUCUUUGUGCCUGUUGCUGUGUGGACCACUCAGGAAGUUUAUCUGAACAUCGAUGACAUCAGACAAAUUCAAAUCGCAGAAGAUGCUUCAACCCCAACAUCUAGAAAUCUGACUGGCGGCCUUCGGGACUCAGGCUGAGUUUAUAAUUUGACCCCACCACUAACUUUUGUUUUUCUCGUUUCCAUAGACAUGCCUCUUACUAAAUACCCAAUUGCUCGCACCGUAUAAGGCUAACUUCAGGACUCCACCUGCAACACCAGCUCCUGAAAUGAGACACAACUGUUUAACUGAGCUGACCUAUCCUCGAGAUUAAGAGGUUGGUUCAGUGAAAUAAUAGAGCACUCUAUCAACCUAGCUUCUAGACUGUGAAACUUCAUUGAACUUUUUUAAAAAUUAAUUUAUUAUUUAUUUAUU